GUGAGGAAUAUUGCGCAAUGGAGGCAACUCUGACGCAGCCAUGCCGCGUGCAGGAAGAAGGCGCUACGCGUUGUAAACUGCUUUUAACCGGGAAGAAACCCCAGGACGUGUCCUGGGUUGACGGUACCGGAGGAAUAAGCACCGGCUAACUUCGUGCCAGCAGCCGCGGUAAUACGAAGGGUGCAAGCGUUAUCCGGAUUCAUUAGGUUUAAAGGGUGCGUAGGCGGAGCGUUAAGUCAGUGGUGAAAUCCUGCAGCUUAACUGUAGACUUGCCAUUGAUACUGGCGCUCUUGAGUGCGCUUGAAGUGGGCGGAAUGUGCCGUGUAGCGGUGAAAUGCUUAGAUAUGGCACAGAACACCAAUUGCGAAGGCAGCUCACUAAGGCGAUACUGACGCUGAGGCACGAAAGCGUGGGGAUCGAACAGGAUUAGAUACCCCUGUAGUCC
rnacentral:rRNA from 1 species